AUUGAACGCUGGCGGCAGGCCUAACACAUGCAAGUCGAACGAGUGGCGGACGGGUGAGUAAUGUCUGUGACACUGCCCGAGGGAGGGGGAUAACUACUGGAAACGGUAGCUAAUACCGCAUACCAGCGGAUGGGCCCAGAUGGGAUUAGCUUGUAGGUGGGGUAAUGGCUAACAUAGGCGACGAUCCCUAGCUGGUCUGAGAGGAUGACCAGCCACACUGGAACUGAGACACGGUCCAGACUCCUACGGGAGGCAGCAGUGGGGAAUAUUGGACAAUGGGCGAAAGCCUGAUGCAGCCAUGCCGCGUGUAUGAAGAAGGCCUUCGGGUUGUAAAGUACUUUCAGUGGGGAGGCGUUACCCGCAGAAGAAGCACCGGCUAACUCCGUGCCAGCCGCCGCGGUAAUUC
rnacentral:rRNA from 1 species